AGUUCACCUGCUGUGAGGCAGAAUUGUUUAUGAUUGUCCAUUGAAGUGCACAACAUCUUCCCUUUGGGCAGGAUGGAGAACAAGACAUGAAGACCUGGGGCCUCAUCUUUCUUCUCCUCACCUUGACGCUCCUUCCUGACCCAGGAUCUGCCAGGUGGGUGAAAAAUGAAGAUGAAUGCAAGGAAGACGGGGG